rnacentral:sRNA from 1 species
ACACACUAAACCCAACCAUCUUGGGGUGGACUCCCUGCCAGCCCAACAGUUGUAUUUUCAGUUCUUCCAGUGUGAAUCAGUUAAUAUUAUCGGGAACGAGGGAGAGGUUGAUCCUAGGAGGAAAUCAACCACAGUGAAAAGGCUUGGGCCGCUUUUGUUUUCACCUCCUUUUGCUGAACAAAUUUGAUUUCCGGAGUCAGUCAUUUUACUGUCAAGAAAUUUCUGCGGCAUUCUGCAACAGCCAACCCUGCUGGAAGUGGUAAGAUGAGGCCGCAUUCUCAUGUCACGGUCUUACAGUGGAUUGACACUGGAUGAGAAAGAGAAAUGCACUUCAUCUUCAUCACUCCAGAGAAAAAGAAUGUGAAUUGACUAAAUACAUGUGAGACAGGAUCUCACUCUGUUGCCCAGGCUAGGGUGCAGUGGUAUGAUCAUGGCUCACUGCAACCUCCACCUCCUGGGCUCAGGUGAUUCUCCCACCUCAGCCUCCCGAGGAGCUGGGACUACAGGAAUGCACCACCAUUCCGGCUAAGUUUUGUAUUUUUUUGUAGAGAUGGGGUUUCACCAUGUUGCCCAGACUGGUUUUGAAC